rnacentral:rRNA from 1 species
CCGCGUGUGUGAAGAAGGCCUUUUGGUUGUAAAGCACUUUAAGCGAGGAGGAGGCUACUGGGAUUAAUACUCUUGGAUAGUGGACGUUACUCGCAGAAUAAGCACCGGCUAACUCUGUGCCAGCAGCCGCGGUAAUACAGAGGGUGCGAGCGUUAAUCGGAUUUACUGGGCGUAAAGCGUGCGUAGGCGGCUUUUUAAGUCGGAUGUGAAAUCCCUGAGCUUAACUUAGGAAUUGCAUUCGAUACUGGGAAGCUAGAGUAUGGGAGAGGAUGGUAGAAUUCCAGGUGUAGCGGUGAAAUGCGUAGAGAUCUGGAGGAAUACCGAUGGCGAAGGCAGCCAUCUGGCCUAAUACUGACGCUGAGGUACGAAAGCAUGGGGAGCAAACAGGAUUAGAUACCCUGGUAGUCCAUGCCGUAAACGAUGUCUACUAGCCGUUGGGGCCUUUGAGGCUUUAGUGGCGCAGCUAACGCGAUAAGUAGACCGCCUGGGAGUACGGUCGCAAGACUAAAACUCAAAUGAAUUGACGGGGGCCCGCACAAGCGGUGGAGCAUGUGGUUUAAUUCGAUGCAACGCGAAGAACCUUACCUGGUCUUGACAUAGUAAGAACUUUCCAGAGAUGGAUUGGUGCCUUCGGGAACUUACAUACAGGUGCUGCAUGGCUGUCGUCAGCUCGUGUCGUGAGAUGUUGGGUUAAGUCCCGCAACGAGCGCAACCCUUUUCCUUAUUUUGCCAGCGGGUUUAGCCGGGAACUUUAAGGAUACUGCCAGUGACAAACUUGAGGGAAGGGCGGGGAACGACGGUCAGUCAUUCAUUGGCCCUUAUACG